rnacentral:rRNA from 1 species
GAUGAACGCUGGCGGCGUGCCUAAUACAUGCAAGUCGAGCGAACGGACGAGAAGCUUGCUUCUCUGAUGUUAGCGGCGGACGGGUGAGUAACACGUGGAUAACCUACCUAUAAGACUGGGAUAACUUCGGGAAACCGGAGCUAAUACCGGAUGAUAUUUUGAACCGCAUGGUUCAAAAGUGAAAGACGGUCUUGCUGUCACUUAUAGAUGGAUCCGCGCUGCAUUAGCUAGUUGGUAAGGUAACGGCUUACCAAGGCAACUAUGCAUAGCCGACGUGAGAGGGUGAUCGGCCACACGGGAGCGGAGACACGGUCCAGGCUCCUACGGGAGGCAGCAGUAGGGUAUCUUCCGCAGUGGGCGAAAGCCUGACGGAGCAACGCCGCGUGAGUGAUGAAGGUCUUCGGAUCGUAAAACUCUGUUAUUAGGUAAGAACAUAUGUGUAAGUAACUGUGCACAGCUUGACGGUACCUAGUCAGAAAGCCACGGCUAACUACGUG